rnacentral:rRNA from 1 species
UGAUUGACGAUGGAUCACCAGUGAGUGGCGGACGGGUGAGUAACACGUAGGUAACCUGCCCCGGAGCGGGGGAUAACAUUUGGAAACAGAUGCUAAUACCGCAUAACAACAAAAGCCACAUGGCUUUUGUUUGAAAGAUGGCUUUGGCUAUCACUCUGGGAUGGACCUGCGGUGCAUUAGCUAGUUGGUAAGGUAACGGCUUACCAAGGCGAUAAUGCAUAGCCGAGUUGAGAGACUGAUCGGCCACAAUGGAACUGAGACACGGUCCAUACUCCUACGGGAGGCAGCAGUAGGGGAUCUUCCACAAUGGGCGCAAGCCUGAUGGAGCAACACCGCGUGAGUGAAGAAGGGUUUCGGCUCGUAAAGCUCUGUUGUUGGAGAAGAACGUGCGUGAGAGUAACUGUUCACGCAGUGACGGUAUCCAACCAGAAAGUCACGGCUAACUACGUGCCAGCAGCCGCGGUAAUACGUAGGUGGCAAGCGUUAUCCGGACUUAUUGUGCGUAAAGCGAGCGCAGGCGGCUGCUUAGGUCUGAUGUUGAAGGCCUUCGGCUUAACCGAAGGAAGUGCAU